CGGAGAGCCCCCUCCGCCCGGCCCAAACGGCUGAACCCUAACCCUUUCCUCAUUCCCUUGUCUCCUUUCUCUCUCUUCUCCACACUCCCUCUGCCGCACGUCAACUCGCCCAGCGAGUGGAUCUGGCUCACCAGUGCGUAAAUCGGGCAGAUCUCUGCAGCUUCCGCGGUGUGGAGGCAGAGCGGAGCUCACCGUCCUUCGCAGCAACAACGAAGCUCUCCUUUCGUUCUGUUCUCUACGUCGCCGCCGUUCGCUGCUCGUCGGCGUCGUCGCACGUGUCUCCCGGCAUCGCCGUCCCUCAAGUAUGGGGAGGCGCGUGAGAUGGGCUGUGCGCAGAUCGGGCGGAGCUCGCUGGCCUCCGAGACAUCCCUACACUCGCUGCCCUCAACACGGUCACCUGACGGCGGAGGGGAUUUUGUGCAAUGCUAGCGACAGGUUAUCAUGGUCUCCUCCUCCUCGGCCCUCUCCACCCAGCCGGUACUUCUACUCGUCGGUAUAACUAUGGCUCGGAUCUGAUGGGGGAACAUCGAGGGAAGCUGGCUGGGUGCAUACUGAGUGAAGGGAUUGAUCUAGGCAUCCAGCGACCUCUACGAUGUCAGUUGCAUUGGACCACGAGACCAUCAGAUUCUUGAACCUUCAGUUGCUUUUAGUGUGAAAUAAGUCCUUGAGGAGUAGUGCAUGCUUUUGAGAUGUGUCAGGUGGACAAGAAAAUAGUGAAGACACAUGCCUUUCAAUAAGCUUUGCAUUUGUUCUGUAAAGAACAUACCUUUCAGCUGGCUGAAACAUUUGGCCCAGUGGAGCUACUCUUGGCUUAUCUGAGAUGUCAUUUGUUCCGCUUAUUCGGUUCUAAUAAGAUCAGACAUUUUGUAGUGAACAUAAUUAUAUUGUGCAAGCAAACAUAUGACAUGUAGCUACAAUUUGGUCUACCUAGGUUGUCUUUCUCCUUACAUUAUGUAAAAACUGUAAUCAAAAUAUUGAGAUAUGGUAAGUGUAUAACUAAGUAUGAAUGUUAGCUUUAAUUAAAGUUUUGAGAUAUGCUUACUAAA